UGUAAAUGGUACUUAUCUGAUUGUUCAUGUUACAAACUGUAAUUAUAUUUAGUAGUUAUAUUCAGUAUUCUCAGGGCGCAUAUAAAGGCUAUAAAUAAAGCCCUGGAGUCAUGUUUGUGCUUUACCCCUUGGAGUUCUCCUUUAAUGUCUGUAUAUAUAUAUUACCAUAUCAACCCAAUAAAUCUGUUGAAAAAAAGAAAGAUUCGUUGAUGUAAAUCAAAAGUUCAUCAGUGUUUCCUGGGCAUUCUGAUAAGCUCUGAUAUAGAGCGAAACACUGCAUAUAUUUAGCAAUUGUCCUCCGUCUUGAAGAGACAUGAUGAAGUAACCUGAUCACCAGAAUUGUUGAAGCUAAUAUUAGAUCAUUCAGUGUCACAAGAAUACCAUCAUUUAGUGUCAAUAUGAGAGUAAUAUCAAUGAAUUCAUACUUCCAGUUCAUAAUUUCAAAACAUACAUUUUU